GACGAACGCUGGCGGCGUGCUUAACACAUGCAAGUCGAACGGAAAGGCCCUGCUUUUGUGGGGUGCUCGAGUGGCGAACGGGUGAGUAACACGUGAGUAACCUGCCCUUGACUUUGGGAUAACUUCAGGAAACUGGGGCUAAUACCGGAUAGGAGCUCCUGCUGCAUGGUGGGGGUUGGAAAGUUUCGGCGGUUUGGGAUGGACUCGCGGCUUAUCAGCUUGUUGGUGGGGUAGUGGCUUACCAAGGCUUUGACGGGUAGCCGGCCUGAGAGGGUGACCGGCCACAUUGGGACUGAGAUACGGCCCAGACUCCUACGGGAGGCAGCAGUGGGGAAUAUUGCACAAUGGGCGGAAGCCUGAUGCAGCAACGCCGCGUGCGGGAUGACGGCCUUCGGGUUGUAAACCGCUUUCGCCUGUGACGAAGCGUGAGUGACGGUAAUGGGGAAAGAAGCACCGGCUAACUACGU
rnacentral:rRNA from 1 species